GGUCAUUCGGGAUAGCUCAGUCGGCAGAGCAUGAGACUCUUAAUCUCAAGGGUCAAUACCCACAUUGGGCA